rnacentral:lncRNA from 1 species
UCACAUUUCUCGUUUUCUCGUACACUUUUGUUUUGUUCGCUUCUUAGUCUUUUCUUCGCAAUACGUUAUGGUCGGGUACUUGCCAAAGGUCUUCCGAUGUUUAAGUCAGUACACAGGUUACUCUAGAUAUAGAAAGAGCAGAAGUAAAUGUACAGUAAAUGUGAACCAACCACCUCCUACCUUUAACCUCUAUUUAUAGAUUUUGUUAUAGACUCGUGAUUAGCGAAGCCUUAAUCACGACCCAAUGCUAGCCCAACGCCGCUAAUCAUGUUUUUACCUUACCCCCUCGACCGGACGAUCUAUUUACGGCGGUAGUACUCGUAGAUUGGAACGAUACAUACAAGAUUAGCAUGUCACCUGUGGGUGGACGUUUGCGUCACGCCGAACGCGGUGGACAAGCGUCCUUAUGGGAAUAUCCGAUAGAAUUGGACCGGUACAGACAAGAUUAGCUUGUCACCGGUAGGGACACUGCGCCAUGCCGAAUGUGAUGGGCAGGCGUCCUUAUAACGUGUCACAUGUCGUCCGACCCC